UAAUAUAGACUUAAAAAAAGAUAGCAUUUUUAUAUUCAAUGUAUAGAGUAAGUGAUGAAUGUAUGAAUAUGAUUAACAUUCUACGGAUUCAACAGAAAUAUGCAUAGCAAAACAGAUAUAUUAAUUUGAAGGAUUUGUGAUAAGGUAAUUUUAACACCGUAAUGGGCCACAAAAUACAGGGUGUCCCGGAAAAUAGUGCGUUCCUUCAAGGUAUGGGCUAAGUGCACCAUUUAGAGCAAAAAAGUCUGAUACAAUUUUUUUGUUAAGUCAACCGUUUUCAAAAAAAUAAUUUGUUAAUUUUAAUGCAUUUGAUUAAUGUCCACAGAAAAGCAAAUACAGCCGGCAGAGCUACGUUCCUUCUUCUGUGCUAAAAUAAUUUUACGGCCAACUAUCAUGAAUCAUCGAACAUAGGCAUAAUAUGCAUUGAUGAAAUACUGAUAACAGUGAUAGAAAAACAGCAUAAUAUUUGUGUUUAUAAAUUAAUAUCUAAUAAAUAAGGUUUGUAUAGUGUUUUGACUUACAUGAAAAAUUGUUAUCAAAUAAAGCUACGUCUUCAAGAAGUAUCGAUAGAACAUGUUGCAAACAUUUGAAUACCUACAUUUCUCCAUUCAAUCUUCUGGGAAGUUCGAAUGGUUGAAUCAGAUGAUUAUAAAAAAUUAUUCCUAGCCCACAAAUUCAUACUUUUGACAACCAUGAAAAUUAAACACACCAUUCGUAAAAUAAACUUUAUCUGCACACAACACUUUACACAGAAAUUCGGGUUCUCUGAAGAUCUUAUUUUACUUGGAGGUAAAUAGCCUUGCUGUAAAUCUUGCACUAAACGUAAUUAACAUAAUAUCAUGAUACUCGCGAUCGAAAUCAUGACAAUAUCACAACAAUACGAUGUACCUAUUCUGGGGUUACAGGUGAUUAUGAUGUGACUGUUUGUGUUUACAAUUAUUGUGUAUUUUUAUCUUUGCUGUGUCAAAAUAAAUAAAACUGCCGUGUUGCCAAAUGUAUAUUUUAGUAAAAGACAUUAUUUUAAUUUUUUGGGGCAACAUAUGACUUUAGAAAAAACAUUUAUAAGAAAGUUUUCUUUUAAAUGGUGCAUUCUACCCACACCUUUAAGGAACGCACUAUUUUCCGGGACACCCUGUAUAUAAAAAAUUUAUUUUUUUUUAUUUGUCACGUCUUGCAAAGAAAUAGUGGCUUAUAUCAUUUAAAAUUCUCAUGUUUUUCGUUGUGGUUCUAAAUCCUGUAUACUUCUUUGACGCACCGCUAUAGAUUCUUCUGACGAGACUAUAGUACCUACCUACUAGUAUCAUCAACACAAACACAUGAACUUAAAUACAUUAUGAACAGACUAGACAUUGUUGAACGUGACUAUGGACUUUAAAUUAAUUCACAGAAGACCAAGAUGAUGAUCAUCGAUCGAACUGGAAAUAACCAACCGGAAAUACGAAACGUAGCAGGUAUGAAGUGGCAAACAGUUUCAAUUACUCAUGUUCUAUUAUCCUAAACAAUAGUGGAGGCCAAGAAGAACCUGAAACUGCUCCUCUUACGUGCGCUUAUCUUCCGUAUCGCUACGUAUGCUGCAGAAACUUGGACCAUGAAAAGUCCGACUCACGACAUAUAAUGGCCUUUGAAAUGUAGGUGACAGCACACCGCACAAAUAUCUCGAUAUUAAAAAUACUCGAUAUCAACACCAUGCUUACCAGAAUCAUCAACCAAAAUAUAUUAAGAUAUUUUAGACACAUAGC
rnacentral:lncRNA from 1 species